rnacentral:rRNA from 1 species
GACGAACGCUGGCGGCGUGCCUAAUACAUGCAAGUAGAACGCUGAAGGAGGAGCUUGCUUCUCCGGAUGAGUUGCGAACGGGUGAGUAACGCGUAGGUAACCUGCCUGGUAGCGGGGGAUAACUAUUGGAAACGAUAGCUAAUACCGCAUAACAGUAGAUAUCGCAUGAUAUCUGCUUGAAAGGUGCAAUUGCAUCACUACCAGAUGGACCUGCGUUGUAUUAGCUAGUUGGUGAGGUAACGGCUCACCAAGGCGACGAUACAUAGCCGACCUGAGAGGGUGAUCGGCCACACUGGGACUGAGACACGGCCCAGACUCCUACGGGAGGCAGCAGUAGGGAAUCUUCGGCAAUGGACGGAAGUCUGACCGAGCAACGCCGCGUGAGUGAAGAAGGUUGUCGGAUCGUAAAGCUCUGUUGUAAGAGAAGAACGAGUGUGAGAGUGGAAAGUUCACACUGUGACGGUAGCUUACCAGAAAGGGACGGCUAACUACGUG